AUGUGUUCAUAGUCUGUUAGUUAGCGUCUCCGCUAAAUUAACAGACUAUGAACACAUUU
rnacentral:pre_miRNA from 1 species